CCUAAGCCACCUCAUUUGGUUUGGUAUAAAGGGCAGAGGUAUGUGUGUGCUCCAGAUGCUAAGGAGGAUCCUCCUAAAAUCAUAUCUGGUGAGUUUUUUUUGGUUGUUGUUUCAUAUAUUUUGUCAUUUGUUUUGUUUUAGUUCUGCCUGUACUUUGUUAUAUAAUUUGUGAAGCAAGUGCUUACAUUUGAAGCUGGAGUCUUUGCUGCGAAAUGAUUAUGUUAUCAUUUUCUUGAGCCGUUUUCUUAUUCCUCAUUAAUGUCGUUGAUGAUGCUGUCAUUGAGUACUUUAAGUGGGUUGAUGGUAUUGCAGACUUUUUUUUUUUAAAGUUGAAUGGGAACAUCUAGGACUUAGCGUAGUACUCUGAUAAUUUUUACUCAUCAUGGGAUAGUUAGGGAUGACAGCCUUCUGAGAUGUUUACUCUUUGACGCUGGCAUUAUUGUAAAAGUUCUCCAAUUUGGCAUGAUUUUCCAUGCAACGCAUUCAUAAUGUCUGAGAUUCAUCACCUAGUUGGGCAGGCAAGAACUUGGCAUGAUUUGAUCAAGAUUUUCUUUUGGCUUUGCAGUGGCUUGGCCUUUUCAGACCAUGCACUGUCUUUUAUUUAGGUGAAAUUUGGCCGUGCUCAUAACACUGAAAUUAUCUACUGCUUAGCUACUAGCUAGUGAAGGCGAUCAGUCCUUUGAUCCUUUCACAAGGGUGUUGGAGCUAAUCUUAAUUGAAUGAUUAUGUUGCUUUAAGUUUAGUGGUUACAGUCAAUCUUUUUUUGUUCCCUUUCCAAUAGCUAGAAUUCUACUCAGUAUAAGCUUCAGCAGCACAGGAACACUAAAUCUUUCAAUCUUGAAGAAGUAAUUUCGUUUGAAUAUGGCCUGUUCUACU
rnacentral:misc_RNA from 1 species